ensembl:snoRNA SNORD59A small nucleolar RNA, C/D box 59A
UCCUCAAUGAUGAUCAACAUAGUGACUUUCGUUCUUCUGAACUUACUGAAGCCACUUCUAUGUCCUGAGAAGA